rnacentral:lncRNA from 1 species
CUUCUCCUUCAAACUCUAAAUAUUUACCAUACUAUGGCAUUUUCCUUCUCUCCUUCUUCCAUAAAAACUGACAUUAAUCCUUCUGCACAACUUAUUAUCCACCCAAAUAUUAAUUUACCCUUACUUAUCCAACCCUAAAUCCUUCUCAACCUAUCUGGUUUACCAUUCUUUAAGACCUUACCACACCCCUUCUCUCGCUCUUCUUUCAGACCCUCACUCUUUCAAAACCUCUUACAACUAUCAGUAGCUCCUUUUCAAAUCCUUGAUCCAGAUGACAUUCCAAUUGCCAACCUUAUUCCUAGAUGGUUAAGAUUGACUCUGAAAUGCAAACCCUCAUUUGUCGCCAUUGAUAUCGAUGAUAAUACUCCUGAACACUCUUCUCCCGUCAUCCCUUCAUCUCGAACUCUACAUACUCGGAGAAGGAAACAACAGGAAGAUGCUUGUUUGGAAGAGGCACUUAGGGCAAGUAAAAAGAAAUAAGUCAUGCCUAAUGCUUCUCCUUCCCAUGUGAUUCCUCUCCUAACAUUCUCUUUCACUCCAAGAGAAAGCUGAAGAAAAAACAUACCAUACUUAAAACAUAAAAACCAUAUCUCUCUCAUAAAAUAUCCCCCCUACCACUCCCAAAGCCUUCUCAUAUUCAAAAUCCACUGUCAAAGACUCUACUGACAAAGUCUUUCCUGGAAAAGCCUCUACUCCUUCUAAAAAUUCUCCAAAAUCUGUGUCACUUCUGACGAAAUAGGUCCCCAAGCCUGGUCCUUCUGUCUCAUCUGCCUUAGAUUCAAACUAUCUUCUUGACACUUCUUCUGUGCUUCCUGAUGAUUCUAAUGUUGAUAUUAAUGUAGAUACUCCUACUGAUAAAGCUUCUCAGUCAAACUAUAUUUUAUAUUUUUAGAAAAAGAAGAUGGUUAGAGGUAGGGUUGUCACUGGUUUUAAGUGUCCUGCUAUGGUAACUUUGGUAUCCAAAUUUAGGGCUCAGGGGUGGUCAUCCUUGCUUCUGCAAAGUAAUCAUCAAAGAAGGUUUGGAAAAGAUAAAGUGUAUGAAUUUUAUACACAUGGAGUUACAAUUGGGGAGAUGAUCUCAACCUCUGUUCAUGGAAAACUCAUCAAUCUUUAUCUUGCUAAUUUAGGUAGAAUUCUAAGUGUUCCUACUAGAGGUUGGGGUCACUAUGUGAAAGGAUCUUGGCCUUCUCUUGACAAUCUUCCAUCCGUCCUUGAUAUCUGCAAAAAUUUUUUUGGAAAUCAUCUUCUUCCUUCUCAUCAUAGGGUGAUGAAAAAUGAAAUGUCAUCUCUCUAUCAGUUGUAUUUUGAUGUGAUCCACAAAAUGAUCUUACCCAGGCAGGAAAGGCGUACAGUUGCAAGCUUUCUUGAUCUUACCUUAAUGGAACUAUUGGAUUCUGAGAUUCCAAUAAACCUUCCCCAACUCAUCAUUAAGCAUAUGCAAUGGGUACUUAUCAACUAUAAGAAUGGUCAUGCUCUGCUCUAUCAGUUCUGGUUUGCCCCUGUGUUUGAUGAUUUUUGUAUCUCUGUCAAGGUGUGGUCCUUACAGAUAACUAAGGAUGUGAUUGGACAAGUGAACCAUGCUAUGUUACCUGCUACUAUGCUACAUGUAAAUAACCCUAUGCAGAAGUUGUAAAAUGCCUCAGAGGCAAAGCAGGGUAAGCUGGAGAUUGCACAAGCUGCAUUGGAGGCUGCUAAGCUAUUUAUAAAGAUGAUAAGAGGGCUCUUGAAGCUCAAAUUGCUUCACUCACAUCCAUAUUAGAGAAGGAACGAACUAAAAAUACUGCUAUCAUUCGAUCGUUGACCUCUUUCAUCCCCUCUACCUCCUCAAAAUAAACUCCUCCUUUGUCCCUUAGUUUUUUCUCUUUCUUCUUUGCUGCUUCUUGGUCCAACUUGUUUCUCUUUUUGGUCUUAGUGGAUAAUGUUAAGUGUAUCUAUUUUUGUGCAUGAAAUUGACCUCUUUUGCCUCACUUGAUCUACUUCUAUUUAAAGUGCUAGAAGCCCCAGAGGAUACCUUAUCUCUGAAGGCAUCUUACAGUGAUAAAGAAAUUGAACUUAAUAAAGAACAAGUUUCCUUUAUAUCUAAGAACUUCAGCAAAUUCUUAAAAAAGAAGAAGGGAAUAGGUAGCAAGAAAUUAUCAAAUAACAAUCUAAAUGGAUGCUACAAGUGUGGUAAGACUGAUCAUCAUAUCAAGGGUUGUCCUUUCUGGGAAAUAAAAUGGAGAAAGGAAAGGGAAGGGCUGAAAAGGAAUUGAAAGAAAAAAAACAAAAAGAGGGAAGAAUAUGCAAUGGUAGCAGCUUGUGCAUUUGACUCAUCUGAUGAUGAAGUUGAUGAAACAGUACUCAUGGCUCUUGGAUAUUCAGACUUGGAGGAAGAAGAUGAUGCUUCUAAGGUAAAUAUACUUAAAGAAAAGUUGUAUUUGUUUUCUAAAACAAAACUUAUAUCCUUGUUGAGUGCACUAAUUAAUGACUUCCAAGAAUCAACUUUUGAUAGGGAUGAGCUUUUUAACAGUCUUGCAAGAAUCAAAUUUGAUUUAUUGAUUUAGAAGCUUGCAAGAACACUGUUGAACAGGAAAACUGAUCUCUCAAGAAACAGGUUGAGUAGCUUGAUUCCUCAAAUAAUGAUCUUAUGUCUGAAGUUCUAAAACUGACACUCUCUGAAAAGGGAAAAAACACCAAGAGUAAAGAACAAGAAAAAGUUGAAGUUGAAUUGGUCAAGUACAAAGAAGAGUGUAAUAAUGCAAUAGGAAUAGUGAAUAAACUAAGUCAAGAAGUCUCUAAACUAAAACUUGACCUUGAAAGAGCAACCAAGUGAACAAAUUCCUCAAGAAUUGUUCAUAAGUUGAGUGAAAGAUAUCACAGUGAAAAAGUUGGUUUAGAUUUUCGCAAAAGUCUUGAUGCUUAUCCAGACUUGUGCUAUAUCUAUGGAAACCUUGGACAUCCAACCACUGAAUGUCCAGUUGCUGCCAAAAAAAGAUCCAGCAGUCUAAAUCUAACCAAUAAACUAUCUCAGACCAAGAAAAGGAUAACUAAACCAGGUCAGAGAAAUAGGUCACGUAACCUCUUGCCUGCAUGGGCUAGAAGAAAUCUGAUUCAUCCAUUUACUUAUAAGAAAGGACCAAAGAUUGUCUGGGUGCCUACAGUUAACCCCUAAUUUUGUUUUUCAGGUGAGAGUGAAAGGAGGAAAGAAAAAUUUGUGCAUAAAUAAAGCUUUCUCAAGGCAUAAGACUAGAAGAAAAUAAAGUUUCUUUGAAUCACCAUAUUUAAAGGGGGAAUGGAUAAUUUGAAAGAUGGCUAGAUUUUUAGUGCUCGUGUAAGGGGGAAGUAAUGGAGAUUUUAAAAAAAAAUUGAGAAAAGAGGAUGACUGUGAAACUGAUGAACAUGUACAGGAACAUGUUGUACCACCUGGUUUAACUGUUGUACAGACUGAGGGCAUAUUGACAGAGGGAACAACAAAUAAAGAAAUGGAUGCAUCAAUAAAACCAACACAAGUUGCUGGUAAUUUUAUUGGUAGUUCAUAAAAAUUGGUGUUGUCAAAGGAAUAUUGAGAUAUCUCAUAAGAAUCAAUGGCUUGAGACUAUGAUAUCCAAAGGAAAGCAAUUUCACUCCUAAGGGCUAUAAAAAUAAUUACUAUGUGGGUUACUUAAUUGAUUGGAGAAGAACCAAAGGCACUAAGUAGAGAGCAUUUUGAAAGGAAUAGGUUAGACUUGGGGAUGAUUAAAAUUGCAUGAACUCCCCUCAAUGAUUGACUAGAAUAAUCAUUUUUCUUUUUAAUCUUAUUAGCUAAAAAGUUAUUCUAUUCUGCCUUGCACAUUUAUUUGUGUGUCCCAAUUCUAAAUUUGUUACUUUUCAAACCUAAUUUUGUAUUAGAUUGUGCAAAAAAUAGGUACAAGCAAGCAAUUGUGACCACAAAUUUCUUCUUAUCAGGUAUGUUCUACACUGACAUAAGCAUUGGUUGUCUAAUUUGAAAUACUUGAUCACACAUGUUCAUUUCCAUACACUUCAUCCUCUACUUGUCUAAAAAGCUAAUGAAUUGUUGACCAAGCUUUCUUUGAUUCUCUCCAAAUGGGUAUGCAUAAAUGUGUUAAUCCUAUACCAGAAACUCCUUCUUCUUUCUUAACCAAAAUAUCAGUUGUGUACCAUGGAUUUGCCAAGAUUGAUCAUCAAUCACAUGCAACAUAUGUUUUUGAAGAAUAAAAAGGGACAUGCUUUCCCUUUUAGUUCCUAAUUGGUUAUUUUUUUUUAGGACUUCUCAGUCCUAAAUUUAGGUUUGACUUAUAAAAAAAAUAGAUGUUCUUGGAAAGAUGAAUCAUGUUGCUUUAUCUAUUUCAACAAGGAGGGCUAACACUUAUUUAAAAAAAAAUCUGAACUAGAAGCUACACAAGACAGUCAUGUAGUGGAAUAAGAGGUCCUUAAGGAUAGGAUCAUGACUUUGAAGCUUGACCUAAAUUGAUAGAGGGAUGAAAAUGUUGAAGUCAUUCAUCAAUUGACACAGUUGAUAUCACCUGUUCCACCUUCCUCAUCAUCUCCUCACUAUUUGUAUCCUUAGUCAUGUCCCACUUUUAUACCGUAUUUUUUUUAAAUGCUCAAUUGUUUUGCUUUGUUCAGUACUAUCUUAGGUUUAAUGUGGAACAUGCUUUGUCAGUUAAAUGUAAUGGUUAUCUUUACUAAAUUGACUCAUAUGUUUUCUCUCUUUAAUAUAUUACUAGGUUGGCUAAAGUCUUUGUCUGAUUGUUUUGGUGAUAGCCCCAGUGGCCAUGAGUAGCAUAACAAAUCACUUUGGCUACUAUAUUAUUACAUUGAAAUGGUUUUUCGAUAAUGCCAAAGGGAGGAACAUAAGAGGGUUGUGUAAUGUUUAUAACCCAUCUAGUGUUUUAUACUUUAGUGCCUACAGGUGGAGAUAUUUGAAUGCACAAAGACAAGAGGUUUGUCAUCAUCAAAAAGGGGGAAUUUGUUGGAACCUUAAAAUUUUGAUGAAUGACAAUAUGAAUUCAAAAAGGUGAUAUGAGUUAGUUCAAUGCAACUAGAAACUUUAACUUACUGAUCACAUGGGGAAUAGAACAAGUUGAAUUUGAUUCAAACACUUGAUGAUAAGGGAAAGCAAGUUGAGUUGAAAAAGGAGUCCUACGUAAAGAAGGAGUUUCUCUUCUGAGCAUAUCCUGAAGAGUCCUAUGUGUAGAAGAAGAAAGAUUCUGCAUAUUGAAGAUUUCUAUGCAAGAUAGGAAACAUAUAAAUUGAACGAAUCUUUGUUAGAUCAAUGAAGUUUUUGAUGACUGACACAUGAAUAGAACAUGUUACUUGUCCUGGUACAAGCAUAGGAAGGUAGGUUUCAGGUUUUACUGAUAAAUGCAAACAAAGAUUGCUAAAAGUCAGGAAUGAAUAAACAAACCUAAUUUUGAUAUACUUAAGCUACUAAUCACAUGAGAAAUUGAAGAAGUUGUGGUUGAGUAAAAUACUUGAAGAUAAGUUGAUUUAAAGAGUUGAAGUUUGACUACAACACAUCAUAAGUUGUAUGUUUAAUUUAUUACAAGGCGGACAGAACAUUAAAACAAAGCAAACUACAUCAUUCAGAAGAAGAGUUGAUCAAGGAGUUCUACGAGAAAAAGAGUUCUACUCAAUCUAGGAGAGAGAGAGACGGCAGCAACAAUAAGAGCGAAAGCAGUCCAAUUCAACAUAGGAAAGGACAUUAACUGGAGUCCAAUUCAAGAUAGGAGAGGACAUUAACUGAAGGGAGUUCAAUUCAAGAUAUGAGAGGAAAUCAACUGAAGGUCUCCAUCAGGGUUGCUUUAAAUACAAGGGAAGAGAGUCAAAGCAAGACACACACUUAAAAAGUAGAAAAGCACAAUCAACAGAUUGACUUCAUGAAGUGCUAUUCAAUCACUAAAGAAACACAUUGAAGAACUAGGCCCUAAGAUAGAAUCUAGCUAAGAGUUUUAGCUUUCAUAUUUAGAGUUGUAAAUUAUUUUUCAACUAUUGAUGUAAUAUUAGUUUUAGUGUGUUAUAAACUGAAUUAGGAGAUAGUCUUCGAGUUGGGGAAAACUCAGAGACUUUGGAAAUGCAUUCCUUGGGAGGUGUCUGUGUAGUUAGGAAUUAGUGUUUAUAAUUCCUAGUCGUUGAGUUAAAAGGAAUUAGAGUUUAUAAUUCCUAGUUGUUGAGAUAUAGGGAUCAGAGUUUAUGGUUCCUAUUUAUUGGUUACAAGAGUUUUGUAAUCAGUUGUUGUUGAGGCUUAGAGUUAUUUAGUGAAGUUGGGGUUAAAUCCUGUAGAGGUGCAGGUCGUGGUUUUUUACACCAUUUGAGCCUGGUGUUUUCCACGUAAAAAUCAUUGUGUUCUUUACUUUCUAUUUUACUUCUUCCUUGAAACACGUCAGGCAACCCGUUCCAUUGAUAAGCAACAGUUAGGAGAAAAUAAGAUAAUCAGUAGGGCACGAACUCUAAUAUUGGGCUAGCAGAAGGUCUCUCAAUCACACUUUUCUUUUGCUAUUUUCUACAGUAAGGUGAUUACCGUAGUUUACCAAUCAUUGAAAUGACCCUAAAUAGGAAUAUAUGGAGGUCAAUGAGUAAGAUAGAAAAUUAGUAGGUAGUCGCUCACUACUGUUAGUAUUGCUUGUCCUAUUCUUCAAUUUUUGUGUUACUUGUUGUUUCCUUUGCUUCAGUUAUUGUACAUUUUGUGGUUGCUUCUUCUUUUUUUUUUUCAGUUGUUUUCCGCAUGGCUUCCUUGCCACCGUAUUUUUUUUACUUUUUUGUUUUUUAAUAUGCUUCAGUUGAGACGAUGGUCUAUUGGAAUCUGUCUCUUUAUAUUCAUAAGGUUGGGUUAAUGUUACAUACAAACCACUCUCCCCAAGCCAUCUCUAAUAUCUCAGAAUGGAUGUUUAUCCCAUUCCAUAGCAUUACUAAUUGGAUCAUAUAUAACAGCUUCAAUAUUCUUGUAUUCAUUCUUGUGUAUCAUAAGAGUACUUCCCAACCCUUUCUUGCAAGAGAGGCCCUGAUUUGGUUCUCCUUGUUUUGGCAAUCAGUUAAGUGAGAAUUGCUUCUUUCAUACUUUCUUCACCUGAAACAGAACGAUUACAGAAAGUCCCAAACCCUUUUAUUCCAACAGUCACUUUUCACGCUCUCCGUCUCUCCUCUUUCAGGAGACUCCGGUCUUCCAGUAGAUUUUUUGGGAUUAUAUAAGUAGAGAAAAAGCAGUAAUAUGUACCUUUCUAGUUAAGCUAGUCAAGAUCAACAAUUAAUUAACUCUCUUCCUCCCCUCUCGAAUAAUACAUCAACCAUCAAAACAUCAUUCAACCUCGUUACAUAAGCUUAUACAUAACCAAACUCAUAAAUUGUUGGAGCCACUUCAGCUACAAGAACUAGGAUUUUUAACGACCAAUAUUAAUGAAGGUACAUGAAUCCAGUCCUUAUAAAUAUACUUAUGGCAACCAAAAAAAUUCAUUUCUGAAAAGCCAAUAUUUAAUUCAACACUAACGAUGGUAUAAACUUUCCUUAAAACACAUAUUAUCCGGUCACAAAAACCAAAUUAUGAAUAAAAAAGAGGCGCUUCUUUUUUCCCAAUCCACCCUCCGCCCACCCCCUCACCUUUAGUUAAGAAAAUUCUCACAAAGUAAAUUUUUGUGGAGCUAAAAGGGCUGCUCGCCUCCAUUUGGUACUUUUGUAUAACCCUUGUACCAUCGUAGAUCCUAUCGGAACUCCCCUGAUCAUAUACAAGACCACACCCACCAAAUUGAGGCCAACAACCGCUAAAAUGAGGGUCGAGAUAGAUCCAACAAAGCCGUUGUUAAAUGAGAGCUCCGUGGUAAUAAGUAAUGCCCUCUUUCUGCUUGAAUUGCAAAGUACAGGGACACUCUGAGGAUAAGUGCAGGGACGCUCCGUUUAGCAUACUUGGGAACAUUCUACUAAACGGAGAAGUACAAAAAAUGAUUGGCGAGAUACAAAAAAGUGACAACAACAGGAGUGUCCCCCAAGAACACAUAGAGGGAACUACCUGAUAUGAAAAAAUGCAGAGUAUAGCAACAUUACAACGAAGAAAAUUGUCUUCUCAACUGCCCCGUAAAACAAAACAUCAAAUUUAUCAACAACUUGUCUCCAAGAAACUACCAGAACACAGCAGCAAAGAUUUGCAUAAGUUGAUUAGUUUACUUGAUAUGCUUUACUUGAGCCGAUGGUCUAUCGGAAACAAUCUCUUUACCUUCAUAAGGCUGGGGUAAGGUUGCGGACAAAUCACCCUCCCCAAACCUCACUUACGAGAUUACUCUGGAUAUAUGUUAUUGUUGUAGUUUUCCCUGCUACUUAAUUUUUCCUAAAAACUUGGUCAACUAUCUGAACUUCACUCGAUCUCAGUACUUAAACUUAUACAUAACCAAACACUGAUGUAUAUUAUAACUACUUAGUAGAAUUGCACUGAACUUAAGAAAUACUAAUAGAAUAUAGUGCAACAGUUAACUAGGAAUUAAGGGAACAGUAGAAGGAAAUCAAUAAAAUGACGUCUUGUGUUUAUUGGCUGGGCGUAAACAUUCGGACAGCACUAUUUAAAAACUAAAUCAAGUUGCAUAAGAUUUUAGAUUAAAGGGUAUAAAAGUUGGUUAACAUUUCAGGAUAUUUCUUCAUUAGCAUAUUCUAUAGCUGGAAGUUUUGAAAACCAAAAUUGUAUUUUUGACUAAAUAGGAUAAUUAUAGUCAAAACAGUAUCGUAAAAGGUUUUAGAAUUUCUAUUUAAAGUAAAUUUUGCACUAUUAUAAAUAGAGUUGCUACGGCUAUUUGGACAAGUACAGCGUACUGAUCAUAGACACGCUAAUUAAACAGUAACAAAUAGUUCAAGACAACAGAUUCAUCUAGCAACACUAUGAUACUCACUAAAAUUUAUCAUUUCUAGCAGACACAAGAUGAAGCAAUGGGAUUUCUACCACUACACCAUGGAUAUCCCCCCAACUUGAUUCAAGUAGUUCCGUCUCACUUCUCGAGUCUCCGGCUCCAUUUGCAAUAGUUCUCAUCUAAUGUAGUAAUUCUUAUAACAUACGAUGAUGAUGACAUAAUUGUUAUGUGGAACCCGAACACUGGGGAAGAAGAAGAAUCCCUUGUCCAAUUCGGAGUACCGACCGGAUGUUGUUCAUGAUCUUUAUAAUUUUUGCUAGUUUCCUUGUAUUGACAGCUACAAAAUAUUUGGAAUAGGACCUAGAGUUGUUGAUGGUGACAUGGAGAUUGAUAUAUUUUCAAUGAAAGGUAAGAAUUAGAAAUCAAUUGGCCCGUUUCCUCCAAAUUAUUAUUUCAUCAAUGGGAGCGUUGUUAUGGUGGAUAGGAUGGUUUAUACGAGUGCGAGGAGGGCAAAUUUACUUAAUGUGAUAGCUUUAUUACUAUAGUAUGUUUUUUUUUGGAGAAGGAACAAUUUCAGGAGGAAUUGUCGUUUCCGUGUCAAAUGAAAUAUAGGACUAAUCCUGUUUUGUAUGCUCUAGGAGAAAAACUUUGCUUGAGGACAAUUAAAGAUCAUCGUAAGGGUCUUGAAUUUUGGUUUUAUAGUAUGACAACAAAUUCAUGGAGUAAGAGGUUGAAUUGGAACAUAUGUUAUGAUAGGAGAAGAGCAUACAAUAUAAGAAAAAUGGAACACAGAACAAGAAGAUAUGCUUCAAAUCAAACAAAGGGAGCUUAAAGGAACACAUAAGAAUUUGAUUAACCACACCAAACUUAUCAAUUAAACUAAAGAAAUACAUACAUUUGCAAUGCCGAGGACUGCGCUUUGUUAUGCUGGCUAAACUGUGUAAGUUGACUUUGAUAGGGUAAUUAUCAUGAGGUAAGUGAUCAAUAGUGGAAAAGAUCAGGUAGAGUAUAUAAUGUCAAAAUCAAGAUCCUAGACAUAAUUGAUAAUUGCUUAGAUUUCAAAGACGAAGUAGACUAAUUUAAAGAUGUUUAUUUCAAGAGUGUUAAUCGUUGAUCCUAAUUCAUAUGCCAGUUUCUGAAUUCAAGAGUUAACCGAGGAUUUUUUACCACGAUUUUUUUAUAUGCCUUAUAAAUAUUUUUAAUUGUUAACUACUUUUUGUAUAAUUUAUAAAUAUAUAAAUUUUAUUUUGAAAUACUCAAAGUAUGUUCGAUAUUUAGGCUUAAAAUUUAAUAGUUUGAAUGACCAAGUACGAACUACAUCACAUAAAUUGAGACAAAGAAUAUGUUUUGUUAAUAUGUUAAUGAGGAUUAAAAGGUGAACAAAUUACCUAUUCCAAUGAUAGAAAAUAAGUUGCAAAGCUGAGAGCUGCAGUAGACAUAAAUAAAUGAAACCUCCGUGUUGUUACAAAAUACAAAUUAAUUAUUGUCAAAUAAGUAUAAACAACUGUAUGGAAAGCCACGAUGUGUGUAGCAAAAUAUUUUCAAAUUAUCUUCUAACAUGCGUUAAUUAUUCCACAAUGAUCACUUUUCCUAAUCAUGUUUAUACAAUUAAUUAUUUAGCACAUCCUAACACAAGGUCAAUAUUAAAAUGUUCUGAUUAGUUGAUAGGAUAAGAAGACAACGAAGAUGAUAACAACACAAAAACAAAGGAAAACGAAUAUAAACAAGUAAAUGAUAAAUGGAAAGAUAGACAAAUAUAUUGACACAAAGAGAUAAAGAGAGGACAACCAAAUGGUAUAUCAAAUCCUAAGACCUUCCUAUCAAUUACUAUAAACACCAAUGUCUUACGAGGAUCUCACGGGAAUGGAAUCCCAUGCAACCCACGUUUCUUCACAAUUCAUAAAGCUUCCAACAAGCUUCAAUAAAACAAUCUAAAGUGUAUACAUUCAUUCAAAUUCAACCAUCUCUAAAAUGAAAGUCCUAGCUAUUUAUAGGCCAAAUGCCACUUAUUACAACUUGGGCUCUAAAGUGACCCUAAAUGUUAAUUGGGCCGAAAAAUACCCAGAAGCCUAAUACUCAUGCUAUGGGUCCAAUUAAAAAUUAAAAUCAAUCUUUGGUAUCAGAGUCGGACUUGAUUUCAUUCCUACAAAGACAAUCUUGGGUCUCGUUGUCUUGAAAAAAUAAAAAAUCACAAAAAUAUUCACUAUUCAUGUUUUUGGAUUUAGGUCAAAUUUCUAGUCUUUGAUUUUGUUGAUUUUGUUGUUUUUUAGUGUUACAUCCUUAUUUCCUAAUAUUAGUAGAGUCUAAAUAUUGAAUUUGAGCUUCAUCGGAGCUAUAUUGAAGAUUCUACCAUUGUUGGAAGCUUGAAUUCGAAGAAAUUGAAAAUGGGUUUUGAAAUCUGAAAAUUUUGAUGAGGAAUUUGAGUAUAAUGAUGCUUGGAAUGCGAUUAGAAGGUGAAGAGCCUAGGUUCAAAAUUUCAUCGCAUUCCGAUGAAGGGUUGAAGAGUUGGAAAUUUUUUGAGUUCUUGGUGUUCUUGAGUAAGAUUCAAAUCUUCAUUUUGAAUUUUCUUCAAAAGGUGGUGUUUGAUCCUCAAAGGAUCAAAAGUGAUGAAAAAAGUGUGAAAAAAUAUUGGUACAAAAUACUUUUUGAAGAUCCUAAAGAAUAUUCCUAAAGAGAGGACAAAAGUACAACUUUGAAGCUGUUGGGCAGGUGACUUGCGUUUGGAUUGUGUUGGGUCUGUCGCUGACCUGCUGCAGCACCCCGAACACAGGUCAAACCAGUAGAGCAGUCCCCUCCUGCGUCCAACCUUCCCUCAACCUGCGCCCCAUCUGCUUCCACAUCUCAAGGCAGCCCACUUUGUCCUUUGGCUUGCGUUCAAGGUGUGCCAAGGCUGCCAACACACUUCCAACGCACCUCCACCUUGUUCCAAUGCAUUUCAACUAUCAAAACACUUCAUUUUCUCAGGUUCAAUUCAUUAAAUUCAUCUCUUAAAUCCUCCUUUCAUCACUUUGAUUCUUAACACUAAUUAAAAACUAACACUAAAACUAGUUAGUUGUUUAUUUAGUUCUCGUCUGUUCGUCUUUCGUAUCCUAAUUCCUUGUUUCUUUUCUUUCAUUUGUCUUUUGUUUUUCUUAGUUUAACAUUUGAAUUCAAGUCUUUACUUCUUAAUUGAGUCAAUUUUUUUUGCUUUUAAAUGAGUCAUCCAUAGUUGCUUCAUCUUCUUUCUACCAUAUACUGAGCCAUGGGUGGAGCAAUCCUUGAUACUCUUAUGGAAGCUCUCAUGGGAAUGUAACAAACUGUGGAUAAAAUAAACGGAACCAUGACACGUAUUGAAGAUAAGUGGCCGAGCAUGGAUAACCGACUCAUUAACCUAACAACUGCCACUACACCGGGGUUCAUCCAUCAAAAUUUGCCCCAAGACCUCAAGAACAUGUUUCCUCAACCCAAACAAAUACAAACUAAGCUCCACAAAAUAUUGUGCGACCACUCAAAAUACCCUUAUGCAAAGACCCUCUCCUUCUUAGGUCCACUAACUACGAUACUAGCAUUUUGUCUAGUGUCACUCCUUUCUUUGUGCAGGUUCAUGAACAAACAACUUCAAAGAAAGAUGGAAGGAAAGUGCCUAAUGAAAGUGAGAUUGAAGGAGUAAUGGAGUUCUUACCAAAGGAUUUCAAGCUUGGAAAGUAUGACGACAAGUCAAUAAAAAAGUUGGAUUCGGGGACUAAUUCUUUUCAAGAAGGGAGGAUGAUACAAGUCGAACUGACUCCACUCUUUUGUUGGGAGCUUAUCGAUUAGUUGAGAAACAUAGGUUGCGAGUGAAUUAGCUUCACAAGGGAUCUUCGUAAGAGAAUUAGUGCUUUUAGUUGGCUUACAUUUGAGGGCCUCAAUUUAGUAUAUUGUGGUUUGCUUAUGUUCCUUCUCUUGUGUCAUUCUAUCUAUAUUUUACUUUUAUUAUUUUCAUUUCCUUGUUUUGUGUUUUGUAUUUAGUGUUUUCCUUAAUUUUCAUGUUGUUUCUAUUUUCGUUUUUUGGUUCUUAUCAUUAGUGGAUUGUUGAAAAUAAAAAGGCAUUUCACAUUACUAGAAAGUGAGGAUCUGACGACAUUUAUUUAAUAAGAUUUAAAAUAAAUAUUGAGAAAUAAAGAGUUUUUCAACAUUUGAUACAAAAUGUCAAAAAAUCAACACAUUUGAUAUGAAAUUUAACAAAACAAUGACAUUUUAUACUAAAUGACAAAAAAAUGAUAUUUAUACUGAAUGUGACAAAAAUAAUAGCAUUUUAUACUAAAUGUCGUAAAACCAAUGGAAUUCUAUACUAAAUGUCGUAAAACAACAUUAUUUGAGGCAUAAUAUCAAUUUUUUUUAUAUUUUGUAUUUAAUAAUAUUAGUUUAUUACUCGAUAUAUCGGUAUUUGCAAUGAUGGUUUAUCACUAUCCAAUUUCUCGAGUCAUGAUAGCAUCUACUAUAAUCCACCAGUAGGUAAGCCAAACUAUAUCUCGAAACAAAAAAGAAACGGAUUAACCGGCGGAAGAUAUGAAAAUAAAAACUAAAGGCAUUCAAACAAGUUUUUAUAGGCAUUCAAACAAAACACGAAGUAACUAAAAGAAAAGGUAAAUAGAUACAAACGUAUUAUACAAUAGAUGGAGGAGAACAAAAUACAAAAAAUGAGAUCCCCAUGACCAGGUAAGAUCGGCAUAAUAGCCACUAAAUCAAAAUAGAGUAGUAGACAGAGUCAAAUAUACAUCUUAUUCUUAGAAUGUACAAAAAGACAUCCAAAAAUAGUAGAAGAAGGGGGAUCAACAGCGAACUGGAAAAGCUCACCCUAUCUUCGAAUUAGCAGCAAGCCCGAGGAUAACACUAGAGGCAAUGAUUUGUAUUCGGAUCUGUAUGAGAAAAAAGAUUCAAAAGUGUAGCAUGAGUACCAAACUACGGGUAAUCAGAAGGCAUCAUAGGCCAACUGAGCUAAAUCACAGAAAAAGUAAAAUAAAUUACAAGAAUGUAAACUAAAUUCAGGAAUAAAGGAUAUAAACGGAAGAUAAUGGAUCAUACUGAAUGGAUGUGAUACAUAUGAGAAAAAUAACUCAAGAAUGAACAUAAAGUCUAACUAUAACCUAAGUAGCCCCCAUAAGCUCAAAAGACACAAAAAAGGAGAAUAACACAAUCAAACACCCAUAAGUCCGGUGGGUACAAGAAAAUAGUAACACUAAUAUGACGAUAAAAUAACAACAAUAGUAAGUGUAAUGCGAGCCAAUACAUAGUAAGCAUUCUUGAUGCUCCUUCCCGGUCAUAACUCAACUUUGUGACCUUACCGGGUUUACAAUGCCAAAUCAGUACCAAAAUUGAUCAUAACUGAUGAACGCAAAUCGAAACUAGGGAACAAUAUCUUAAUAGUAAAAUGUUGUGUAUAGAUCAUCAAUACCAAACUUGAACUGAAGCUAGAGAAUAAUACCAUAAUAGCAAAAUGUCAAGAUCGAACUGCACUCUGACAAGUAACAAGAUAACUGCAAGGUGCUUGACUGAAAUAGAAACUAAUAAUUAAGCUAAAUGUAAUAAUGAUCUAAGAUUAUAAUUUCUCUUGAACCCAAGUAGUCAUAAAUUCCCAGGUAAGGCGGUCAAGUCUAUAAGCGAUACAAGAUUUUAGUCACUAAGCAAAGUGAUAUGGUUUAAAGUCAAAUACUACCCCAACUGGGGUCACAAGGCUAGUUAAAGUCACUAAGCAAAGUGAUAUGGUUUAAAGUCAAAUACUACCCCAACUGGGGUCACAAGGCUAGUUAAGGCUCAACAAACUAACUAUAGGGUUUAAAGUCAAAUACUACCCCAACCGGGGUCACAAGGCUAGUUAAGGCUUAACAAACUGAUUAAGUCAUCCUAAAUUUCACGAAUCAGUCAAGGUAUCAAAAAGAGGUAAUUUGUGUCAACAAAAGGCUAUUCUAAACAUUCUAUUAAAAACAAGGGUUAGGUGGAUGCACUGCCAGUCCCGAAAAAAAGCCUAAGGCAAACUCCUUUCCAAUUCUAGUCUAAGAAUUUUCAAUCCCAUCCCAAGGAACUAAGCGUACUAAGACUAGUGUUGUUGUAAGUAAAAUAGGUGUCUCAUGAAUUCCUCUUGUCAGGAUCGUGACUAUUUCUGAGAAUCAGUUCAGAUUCAUGCCAGGUAGCUCGCCUACUGAGGCUAUUCAUAUCGUGUGUGGAUUAGCGGAGCAGUAUAGAAAGAGGAAUAAGGGCCUUCACAUAGUGUUCAUCAAUCUAGAAAAGGCUUACAUCAAAAUUCCCAGAGGUUCUUUAAAGGUACUUGAAGUCUAGAUGUGUUCCUGUGGCGUAUACUAGGUCGAUUAACAAUAUGUAUGAUGGAUCAAAGACUCGAGUGAGAAUGAUGGGUGGAGAUUCAGAGAACUUUCUUUUCUUGAUAGGGUUGCACCAGGGAUCAACUCUUAGUUCAUUUUUGUUCUCCUUAGGAAUGGAUGUAUUGAUUUUUAUUCAUGGGAGCUACCUUGAUGUUUGUUAUUUAAAGAUGAUUUAGUUCUAAAAGACGAGACUCGGGGAGGUUUUAAUGGUAAGUUGGAGAUUUGGAGACAAACCCUAUAGUCUAAAAUGUUUAGGUUGAGCAGUACCAAUACACAAUACCUGAAGUGCAAGUUCAGUUAGUUGACGCAUGAGAUGGGUGUGGUAAUGAAGUUAAAUUCCCAAUCUAUUCGAAAGAAAGAUAGGGUCAAGUAUCUUAGGUGUAUGAUCCAAGAAAAUGAAGAGAUUGAUGAGAAUGUCACAUACCGUAUUGACAUCGGGUGGAUAGAAUGAAGGCUCAUUUCUGGAAUCUUGUGUGAUAAAAAGGUGCACCCUAAAUUAAAAGACAAGUUCUACAAAAUUAUAGUCCGAACAGUUAUGUUUUCUGGAGCGAAGUGUUGGCUUUGUAUGUAGUGUGAAUGAAAAAUGAAUGUGUAUUUUUUUUGGAAAGACACCAAGAGAAAGGAUGCAAUUUGAAUAGACACCUUUCACUUUGGAUGGUUAUAGACUUUCUAAUGGGUUGUGACUUUUUUUAGAGUUACACCUUUUCCUAAGAGUUGCACCUUUAUGAAGAGGUGCACCUUUCUAAAUCAUUGAUUCUCUUCAUGAAGCAACACUUUGAUGGCUAUAAAUACGUGAAUUUUUUCUCAGGUAAAGACACAAUUUUUAAUUAAAAAAUAAUAUUCUUCUUCUAAAAACUCUCAUGUGAUCAUAAAAUCAAUGAAUGUGUUCGGAGUUUCUGAAAAUUUGAGGUACCGCUAUUUCUAGAAAAAGAAUUAUUUUAUACUGGGAAGAAAGAUUCCAUAACCUCGGGUACUUGAAAGGAAUAAAUUUCUUAAGGACAUAUCGUGCAUUCGGUGGACUUCUUUGUGCAGGUUCAUGAACUAGCAACUUCAAAGAAAGAUGGAAGGAAAGUGCCUAAUGAAAAUGAGCUUGAAGGAGUAAUGGAGUCCAAAGGAUUUCAAGCUUGGAAAGUAUGACGACAAGUCGAUAAAAGAGUUUGAUGCGGGGACUAAUUCUUUUCAAGAAGGGAGGAUGAUAAAAGUCCAACUGACUCCAGUCUUUCGUUGGGAGCUUAUAGAUUAGUUGAGAAACAUAGGUUGCGAGUGAUUUAGCUUCACUCGGGAUCUUCGUAUGAGAAUUAGUGCUUGUAGUUGGAUUACAUUUGAGGGCCUAAAUUUAUUAUAUUGUGGUUUGCUUAUGUUCCUUCUCUUGUGUCAUUCUAUCUAUACUUUUUAUUAUUUUCAUUUCCUUUAUUUCCUUGUUUUGUGUUUUGUAUUUAGUGUUUUCCUUUAUUUCCGUGUUGUUUCUAUUUUCGUAUUUUGGUUCAUAUCAUUAGUGGAUUGUUGAAAAUAAAAAGGCAUUUCACAUUACUAGAAAGUGAGGAUCUAACGACAUUCAUUUAGUAACAUUUAAAACAAAUAUUAAGAAAUAAAGAGUUUAUCGACAUUUGAUACAAAAUGUCAAAAAAAAAAAAAAAACAUUGGAUACAAAAUUUAACAAAACAAUGACAUUUUAUACUAAAUGACAAAAAAAUGAUAAUUAUACUGAAUGUGACAAAAAUAAUAUAAUUUUAUACUAAAUGUGGUAAAAACAAUGGCAUUCUGUACUAAAUUUCGUAAAACAACAUUAUUUGAUGCAUAAUAUCAGAUUUUUUUAUAUUUUGUAUUAAAUAUCAGUUUAUUACUCGAUAUAUAGAUAUUUGCAAUGAUCGUUUAUCACUGUCUAAUUUAUCGAGUCAUGAUAGCAUCUACUAUAAUCCACAAGUAGGUAAGCCAAACUAUAUCUCGAAACAAAAAAGUAAGGGAUUAACCGGCGGAAGACAUGAAAUUAAAAAGUAAAGGCAUUCCAACAAGUUUUUAUAGGCAUUCAAACAAAACACGAGGUAACUAAAAGAAGUGGUAAAUAGAUACAAACAUAUUAUACAAUAGAGGGAGGAGGACAAAAUACAAAAGAUGAGAUCCCGAUGACCUGGUAAGAUCGGCAUAAUAGCCACUAAAUCAAAAUCGAGUACUAGACAGAGUCAAAUAUACAUCAUAUUCUUAGAAUGUACAAAAAGACAUCCAAAAAUAGCAGAAGAAGGGGGAUCAACUGUGAACUGGAAAAGCUCACCCCGUCUUCGAAUUAGAAGCAAGCCCGAGGAUAACGCUAGACGUAGUGAUUUGUAUUCGGAUCUGUAUCGGGAAAAAGAUUCAGAAGUGUAGCAUGAGUAUCAAAACUACGGGUACUUAGAAGGCAUCAUAGGACGACUGAGCUAAAUCACAGUAAAAGUAUAAUAAAUUACAAGAAUGUAAACUAAAUUCAGGAAUAAAGGAUAUAAACGGAAGAUAAUGCAUCAUACUGAAUGGAUGUGAUACAUAUGAGACAAAUAACUCAAGGAUGAAAAUAAAGUCUAACUAUAACCUAAGUAGGUCGCCAUAAGCUCAAAAGACACACAAAAAAAGAGAAUAACCCAAUCAAACAUCCAUAAGUCCGGUGGGUACAAGAAAAUAGUAACACUAAUAUGACGAUAAAAUAACAACAAUAGUAAGUGUAGUGCGAUCCAAUACAUAGUAAACAUUCUUGAUGCUCCUUCUAAGUCAUAACUCAAGUCUGUGCCCUUACCGGGUUUCCAAUGCCAAAUCGGUACCCAAAUUGAUCAUAAAUGAUGAACGCAAAUCAAAACUAGGGAAAAAUAUCUUAAUAGUAAAAUGUUGUGUAUAGAUCAUCAAUACCAAACUUGAACCGAAGCUAGAGAACAAUACCAUAGUAGCAAAAUGUCAAGAUCGAACUGCAAUCUGACAAGUUACAAGAUAACUGCAAGGUGCUUGACUGAAAUUGAAAUUGAUAAUUAAGCUAAAUGUAAUAAUGAUCUAAGAUUAUUAUUUCUCUUGAACCCAAGUAGUCAUAAAUUCCCAGGUAAGGCGGUCAAGUUUAUAAGCGAUACAAGAUUUUAGUCACUAAGCCAAGUGAUAUGGUUUAAAGUCAAAUACUACCCCAACUGGUCAUGUAAUGCCCCGGAAAAAGGGUCCCGAAGCGUUACACGGUGCUUGAGGCUAUGAGUAGCCCCAAGCUAACCCUUUGAGCCAUUUUCAUUCAAUUCAACACAAAUCAACGGGGUUUCCAUAAAUAACCCUCAAAUAUCAACAGAGUAAUCAUCAUCCAAGAAUAAAAGAAUUUCAGAAAGAUAACAAAAUAUGACUUAUUAGUCAACUCCCAACAUCUAUACUAGUCUGACAAGCCUCUAAGAAAAUCAAUAAAACUAGCGAGCCAUUGAGACAUGCCCCAACUGACUCAUACUCCGUUAUCAAAUAUAAACAAUUCCGUGAAACCAGCAUCAGACAUCAUGUUCUCGGGGUAUUACAACAUCCCCCUUGGAAACAUUUGUCCUCGAAUGACGCUAGACAUGCCAAGAUAAGAUAGGGAAUAGAGCAUACAGAUGAAACCAUUCGUUAGACUCAUCACCACAUCGUUUCUCACUCCGAAUGCAACAUAGAAUGCAUAAAUUCAAGAAACUACAGCUGAACACAUAAUAAAUGGUAGCUGAACUACUGCAAUUUUUAUCAAAAGUGCACGAUUUAGGAAAGAACGGUACCUUCAGCUUGAUCGGAGUUCGCGGAAAAUAGGUGCGGGUACUUGUGUCGCAUAUCCACCUCAGCUUCCCAAGUUGCACCCUCAAUAGAUUGGUUUCACCACAACACCUUGACCAAGGGAACUUCUUUGUUCCUUAGUCUUCGGACACAGAAAUCAAGAAUCUCAACAAGAAUCUCAUCAAAAGAAAGAUUUUCUUGAAUAUCAGCACUCACAGAGGAAUCCACUACCACAGCAUCGCUAAUAUCCUUUCUAAGCAUGAAGACAUGUAAUAUUAGAUGAACAGAGGACAACUUGAAAGGCAACUCGACUUCAUAAGCUACCUUACCAAGACGGCUAAGAAUUUUAUAAGGACCAACAUAAUGGCGACUAAGCUUCCCCUUCUUCCGAAUCUCUUCACCCCCCUCAUGGGUGAAAUUUUUAGAUACACUAGGUCACCAACUACAAACUCAAGGUCUCUCCUUCUAACAUCCACAUAUGACUUCUGACGACUCUGCACAGUUUUCAACCUUUUCUUAAUCAACUUAACUCCAUAGCCUCAAAUACCAAAUCAGGACCACUCGCAGUCACCUCACCCACCUCGAACCAACCUAUGGGUGAUCUACACUUCCUCCCAUAUAAGGCUUCAAAUGGAGCCAUGCCAAUACUAGAGUGGAAACUGUUAUUGUAAGCAAACUCUAUCAACGGUAAGUGAUCAUCCCAACUUCCCUUAAAGUCAAGUGCACAAGCUCAUAUCCUCUAAGGUCUGGAUGGUCCGCUUAACCUGACCAUCGGUCUGCAGAUGAAAAGUAGAACUCAAAAGCACUUGGGUACCAAGACCCUUCUAAAAAGCUCUCCAAAAUUGUGAAGUGAACUGAGUACCCCUAUCCGAAAUGAUAGACAAUGGAACUCCAUGCAGUCUAACUAGCUCUCGGACAUACAAUCUAGCGUAAUCCUCAGCAGUAUAUGAAGUAUGAACAGGCAAGAAAUGAGCAGACUUAGUCAACCUAUCAACCACAACCCAAAUGGAAUCAUGAUGGCGUCGGUAAGGAGGUAAACCAAUCACGAAGUCCAUAUUUAUCUCUUCCCACUUCCAGGUGGGAAUACUAAACUCUUGUAUUAUACUACCAGGUCUUUGGAGUUCAACUUUAACCUAUUGGCAUAUUGCACACUUAGCUACAAAAGCUGCUAUAUCUUGGUACAUCUUGGUGGCACCAGGAUGAAUAGAAUAUCGCGCCCCAUACGUUUCAGCCAUAAUCCUCUAUCUCAAAUCAUCAACAUUCGGGACACACAAUCUACCCUGCAAUCUCAACACACCAUCUCCCCCUUGGGAGAAAACCUCUACUUUUUGGUCCUUGACUUACUUCUUCAGUCUGACCAAACUAGCGUCUAAGUAUUGCUUUUCCUACACUUCCGAAACCAAGGAGGUUUUGGAACUACUCUGAAUCCCUAUACUACCUUCAGCAGAGUCAAACAACCUAACCCUCAAUCUAGCCAAACGAUGUACAUCACGAGCCAACUCUUUUUUACCUUCUACCACAUGCGAAACACUACCCAUGGACACUCUACUUAGGGCAUCUGCCAUAACAUUGGCCUCGCUCGGAUGGUACAGAACACUCAUAUCAUAGUCUUAAACAAUUCUAACCAUUGUCUCUGCUUAAGAUUCAAUUCUCUCUAGGUAAACACAUACUGUAGACUCUUAUGAUUAGUGAAAAUAUCAAAACAGACACCAUACAAAUAGUGUCUCCAGAUUUUCAAAGCAAACACAACAGCAGCCAACUCAAGGUCAAGGGGUGGGUAAUUUUUCUCAUGGGGUUUCAACUGUCUAGAAGCACAAGCUAUUACUUUACCCUUCUGCAUCAAUACGCAACCCAACCCAACUCUCAAAGCAUCAUAGUACACCACAAAACCAUCAAUACCAUCAGGCAAAGUCAAAACAGGGACUGAAGUGAGUCGAGUCUUCAAUUCCUGAAAACUCUUCUUACAAGAUUCGAACCACAAGAACUUCACUUUCUUUUGGGUCAACCGAGUCAUAGGAGACGCUAUAGAGGAGAAACCCUCAACAAAACGGCAAUAAUAGCUAGCUAAACCCAAGAAACUUUGGAUAUUAGUCGGAUAAAUAGGUCUAGGCCAAUUUAUAACAGCUUUGGUCUUUUGGGGAUCAACUCUAAUACCCUCGAAAGAAAUGAUAUAACCUAGAAAAGCAACUGACCUUAGCCAAUACUCACACUUACUAAACUUGGCAAACAACUUGUAAUUUCUAAGGGUUUGCAAGAUAGUUCGGAGAUGAUCAGAAUAUUCAUCCUCACUACGGGAGUACACCAGUAUAUCAUCGAUGAACACUAUGACAAACAUAUCCAGAUAUGAUCUGAACACUCNNNNNNNNNNNNNNNNNNNNNNNNNNNNNNNNNNNNNNNNNNNNNNNNNNNNNNNNNNNNNNNNNNNNNNNNNNNNNNNNNNNNNNNNNNNNNNNNNNNNNNNNNNNNNNNNNNNNNNNNNNNNNNNNNNNNNNNNNNNNNNNNNNNNNNNNNNNNNNNNNNNNNNNNNNNNNNNNNNNNNNNNNNNNNNNNNNNNNNNNNNNNNNNNNNNNNNNNNNNNNNNNNNNNNNNNNNNNNNNNNNNNNNNNNNNNNNNNNNNNNNNNNNNNNNNNNNNNNNNNNNNNNNNNNNNNNNNNNNNNNNNNNNNNNNNNNNNNNNNNNNNNAGAAACACUGGGCCUUAUGAAACCCUUAUCUAGUAGAUCUUUGAGUUUCUCUUUCAACUCCUUAAGUUCUGCAGGGGCCAUAUGGUAAGGAGGAAUAGAAAUAGGCUGAGUAUCGGAAAGAAGAUAAAUCUCAAACUCUAUCUCUCUAUCAGGAGGUAUCCUUGGGAGAUCAUUCAAAAAGAUAUCAGAAAACUCAUUAACAAUGUUAACAACUGGAGAGUUGGAGUCUCAGACUUAGUGUCUUUGAAUCUAACCAAAUGGUAAAUACACCUCUUGGAAAUAAGCUUUCUAGAUUUGAGGUAAGAGAUAAAAUAACUCUAGGGUGACACAGAAUUCCCAGACCACUCAAACACGGAUGCACCCGAAAACUGAAACUUGACCACUCGGGUCCGAUAAUCAAUAGAGGCAUAAGAAGAAUACAGCCAGUCCAUACCCAGAAUCAUAUCAAAAUCUACCAUGUCUAACUCAAUCAGAUCAACCAACAAGAAUCUAUGAAGAACGGUAACAGGACACUUUUUAUACACAUUCUAGGCAACAAUCGAAUCACCCACUGGGGUAGAAACUAGGAUAGGAUCAGGAAUAGUCUUAGGACUCAUUUCAAAAUUCACAGCAAUCAAAGGUGUAACAUAUGAGAAACUGGAUCCAUGAUCAAAAAAGCAUACACAUCAAACUAAAAUAUACGAAGCAUACCAGUAACAACAUCAGGAGAGUUCGUUUGUUCCUGGUGGGAUGGUAAAGCAUAGAAUCUAUUCUGGCGUUUCCCACCAGCAUUGCUAGAAGAGGUGCCUUGAGCUGGGGCUAGGUGAGUCGCUGGAACUGGAGCACUAACAGUCUGAGUCUGGGUCUGAGGGCGAUAGUCAGGACACCCUUGUCCAUCCUGUGGACAAUCUCUAACUUGUGACCUAUGUCACCACACCAAAAAUAACCCCUCUUCUCACCCCAACACUCACUCGAAUGAGCCCUACCACACUUAGGACACAGGAGACGAUUUGGCUUACUACCACCACUUUACUAGGACCUGGAUGCAUAUGACUUGGUACCUUGCUCCUACCAACCUCUAGGCAUGGGAGCACUACUAGACGAAGGUUCUAGCAUAGACAAAUGAUCCUGAUACUGAGGGCAACUCCCUCCGUACAAUCUAGUCUGUCCCUGUUCGUGCUUCUUGGACCAAGCUCUUUUAUUCUCUCUUAUUCUAUCUCUCUCCUUAAUCUUGUCUGCCUUAAUCUGUUGGGCAUGAGUCAUCAGCCUAGAAAGUUUUAUCUCACUAUUCAGCAUAGCAGACCUACACUUCUUAACCAUAUAAUUAGACACUCCAGUCAUAAACUUACUCAUACUAGCCCGAUUAUCAGCCACUAAGUCAGGAGCAUACUUUCCAAACUGAUUGAACUUUAGACAGUACUCCCUAACAGUUAUAGAGCCCUAUCGCAUGUUGAUAAAAUCUUCAACCUUCGCAUUCCUCAUCUCCAAAGGGAAAAACUUAUCCAGGAAUGCAUCCUGGAACUCUUGUCAAGUUUUAGGGAUAGCUCCCUCACCUCUACCUUUCCUCCAAGCAACAACCCAGUCAUAAGCAAGGUCUUUCAACCUAUACACAACCAACUCCACAGUAUGUUCCUCAAAUACAUGCAUCACCUGAGUAAUCUUUCGUACCUCCUCUAAAAACAACCGUGGAUCCUCAUCAGACUUGGACCAAUAGAAUUCUAACGGAUUUAUCCACAUGAAGUCAUGGAUCCUGGCAGCAGUUGAAUUACCUCCUUGCUGCUAUGGAGCUGGGGUCGGGUUGGCCUGAAUAUUUGCAGUAACAACUUGGGCCAGCGCCUGUAAGGAUGCCCGAAAUUCAGCAUGAGACAUGUUUUCAUUCAAUGGGUCAGCGGGUUGAGGUUGCUGACCAUUAUAAUUUCUUCUCGCUUGACGUGGAGGCAUAUUUUUGAAAGAGGAGAGCACAAAUCAAUAGCAGGGAGAGACACUUUAAGAACGCUAGACUUCUAAAAAAAAGAAUCACACUUUUACCUAAAAUGUCUUGUAUCCUCUUGCUCAUAGAUGUGGUGUGCUACACACCGAUGAUCAAGAAUCUACUUAACGUGACUUGUCAGACUCUCUAGCACACCUUAAAAACUUAGGCUUUGAUACCAAGUUUGUAAUGCCCCAAAAAAUGGGUCCCAGAGCGUCACAUAAUGCUUGAGGAUAUGAGUAGCCCAAGCUAACCCUUUGAGCCAUUUUCAUUCUGUGCAACACAAAUCAACUAAAUUUCCAUAAAUAACCCUCAAAUAUUAACAGAGCAAUCAUCAUCCAAGAAAAAAAGAAUUUUAGAAAGAUAAUAAAAUACGACUUAUUAGUCAAUUCCCAACAUCUAUACUAGUUUGACAAGCCUUUAAGAAAAUCAAUAAAACUAGCGAGCCAUUGAGACAUGCCCCAACUGACUCAUACUCAGUAAUGUCGCUUUAUACCUCUCACUUAGUGCUAAAGAUUUCUACCGGACUUAGCUUAGAUCAUUUCAAAGAUAAUCCACAACAAAACAAUUUCAGUAAUAUAUAAAUAUACAUCGGGAGCCAUCAUGCUUCCCAUCUAUCAAAAUCAAUCACAUUGUGGAUUUCUUUCACACUUGAGUUUAAAACAACUCCAUUAAGACCAAAAGCUCAAAUCAUCCAAAAUAUCCCAAAUAUUCAACAUCAACGUGCUUAUAACACACACUUUCUCAAAAAAAUACAAUUUCCAAUGGGGAUUCACCACCCAAAUAUCAAAAUCAUGAUAAAUAUCGUUCAAGAUUUAUACUUUAUAUCACCACACAUGUAAAGUCAUCUUUCUAAAUCAUAAAGAUCAAGAUUUCAUAAUAAUCAUCAUAAGAUAUGGGUUCAUGCUUCAAAUUCAUAAAAAUCAAAUAAAAAGCAUGCCUUUGUAAAGAAAAUUACUUUUGGCACAAGAACGAAAGAGAGUUGUUGUUGAAAAACCCACAUUCCUUGAAUGAAGAACUUUAGAUCGAUACUCAUUUUUGAGAUGUUAAUCGUGCCUUUGAAUUAUGGUUCUUGGAUUUCUUGAACUAGGAACUUGGAAUCUUGAAUAAAUUUGCAAAAUUAAUGGUGAACUUUGGAGGUUCUUGAUGUUGGAUGUAGGAGCUUAGGGUUUUCUUUUUGAGGGAGUUUGAUGAAAUAUAAUAUAUAAUUCUUCUAAUAGAAUUUAAUAUAGGGUUAGGUUAAAUGACCAAAAUGUCCCUAAAAUCAAAAAAAUUCUCGAAUCUGUCCUUUGGUGGACUAUUUUGAUAGUCUGAAGUAGAUCAACCAUAACGUUUUACUCCGAUAUUCAAAUUGAAUGAAACCAAUUUUAUUAUGAAGAGGACUCGCAUAUAUUUCCAUUGAUAUAUAGUAUCUCACCCAUAUCAAUGUGUAUGAGGAGUUAUGAUUGUUUGAAGUUGACCCAAAACUCAACUUUUGAUAGGCUGAAGUAGAUCGACCAUAACUUUUUGCUCCGAUAGAUAAAUUGGAUGAAAUCAAUUUCAUUGGAAAGAGGACUCGCAAAGAUUUUCGUUGAUAUAUAGUAGAUCACCCAGAUAAUUAUGUACAAGGAGUUAUGAUCAUUUAAAGUUGGAGGAAAAAUAUGCCAGGCCUCAGUACUUUUUCCUGCACGUUUUACUAUUCACUACUAUCCACGGUUCGAUCCGAAUGUUAAUAACUAGUCACUCGGGUGUCUGUUUUGGAUGAUCCACAUAUUUUUGGAAAGCUUAUUUGAUACUCUAUGCAAUGGUGUUUCAUAAUCUAAAAGAUUUUGCAUGAAAAAUUUAUAAUUCAUUCUAGAAGAUAGAACCCAACACGUUCACGCACAAAAUUUUAACAAAAAAUUUCCCGGGGUAUUAUAGGUCACAAGGCUAGUUAUGGCUCAACAAACUAACUAUAGGGUUUAAAGUCAAAUACUACACCAACCAGGGUCACAAGGCUAGUUAAGGUUUAACAAACUGAUUAAGUCAUCCUAAAAUUCACGAAUCAGUCAAGGAAUCAAAAAGAGGUAAUUUAUGUCAACAAAAGGCUGUUCUAGACAUUCUAUUUAAAACAAGGGUUAGGUGGAUGCACUGCCAGUCCCGAAAGACAGCCGAAGUCAAACUCCUAUCCAAUUCUAGUCUAAGAAUUUUCAAUCCCAUCCCAAGGAACUAAGCGUACUAAGACUAGUGUUGUUGUAAGUAAAAUAGGUGUCUCAUGAAUUUCUCUUGUCCGGAUCGUGACUAUUUCUGAGAAUAAAUUCAGAUUCAUGCCAGGUAGCUCAACUACUGAGGCUAUUCAUAUCGUGAGUAGAUUAGCGGAGCAGUAUAGAAAGAGGAAUAAGGACAUUCACAUUGUGUUUAUCAAUCUAGAGAAGGCUUACAUCAAAAUUCCUAGAGGUUAUUUAAAGGUACUUGAAGGCAAGAUGUGUUCCUAUGGCAUAUACUAGGUCGAUUAACAAUAUGUAUGAUGGAUCAAAGACUUGAGUGAGAAUGAUGGUAGGAGAUUCAUAGAACUUUCUUUUCUUGAUAGGGUUGCACCAGGGAUUAACUCUUAGUCCAUUCUUAUUCUCUUUGGUAAUGGAUGUAUUGAUAUUUAUUCAUGGAGAGGUACCUUGAUGUAUGUUAUUUACAGAUGAUGUAGUUCUAAAAGACGAGACUCGGGGAGGUAUUGAUGGUAAGUUGGUGUUUUGGAGACAAACCCUAUAGUCUAAAAUAUUUAGGUUCAUAAGGACCAAUACAAAAUACUUAAAGUGCAAGUUCAGUGAGUUGACUAAUGAGAUGGGUGUGGUAGUGAAGUUAAAUUCUCAAUCCAUUUGAUAGAAAGAUAGUGUCAAGUAUCUUAGGUCUAUGAUAUAAGAAAAUGAAGAGAUUGAUGAGAAUGUCACAUACCGUAUUGACAUAGGGUGGAUGGAAUGAAGGAUCAUUUCUGGAAUCUUGUGUGAUAAGAAGGUGCACCCUAAAUUAAAAGACAAGUUCUGCGAAAUGAUAGUCCGACCAGUUAUGUUGUCUGGGAUAGAGUGUUGGAUUUUUAAGUAGUGUGAAUGAAAAAUGAAUAGGUGUUUUUUUUGGAAAGAAACAAAGAGAAAGGAUGCAAUUUGAAUAGUCACCUUUCACUUUGGAUGGUUAUAGCCUUUCUAAUGGGUUAUGACUUUUUUGAAGAGGUACACCUUUUCCGAAGAGUUGCACCUUUAUGAAGAGGUGCACCUUUCUGAAUCAUUGCUUCUCUUAAUAAAGAAACACCUUGAUUGCUAUAACUACCUGAAUUUUUUCAUAGGUAAAGAAACAAUUUUGAAUUGAAAAACAAUAUUCUUCUUGUUCUAAAAACUCUCAUGUGAUCAUCAAAUCAAUAAAUAUUUUGGAGCUUUUGAAAAUUUGAGGUGCCGCUAUUUCUAGAAAAAGAAUUAUUUUAUACAGGGAAGAAAGAUUCCAUAACCUCGGGUACUUGAGAGGAAUAAAUUCCUUAAGGACAUAUCGUGCAUUCAGUGGACUAGGUUCUACAAUUUUCUGCUUCAUCUUCUUUUCUUAAAGUUAAUUUUACUACUUUUUCAAAAAAUAGUUCGAACUUCAUAUUGAUGGUUCUUCAAAUGUUUGAACUUGCAUUUGAAGUUCUUGAAACUUCAUUUUGAUAGUUCAUAAGUUGGUUGAAUUUGUGUUGAAGUUCUUAACAUUUGAUUUUUUCUUAAGAAAAUAGUAUGAACUUCAUUUUUGGUUGCUCAUAAGUUGUGUUGAACUUAUUGUUGAAGUUCAAAGUUGAAUAUACAGAGUUUAAACUUCAUUUGAUUGUUCAUAUAUUAAUUUGAACAUGUGUUUGAAGUUAUUGUUAAAUAAAUACAGAUUUUACUGAUUAAACUUGAACAAAAUAACAAUCUUUAGGAAUUUAUUGAAAAUAAAUAUUGUUUGUUCUUGUUUGGUGAAAUUUUGUUUCACUGGGCCAAGUACUUUUGUAAUUUGUAUUGAGACUGAUUUUUUAGUGACUAAAGUUUUAUGAUGUUCUACUCUCUUGGUUGUAAGAAUAUAAAAACUUCACUGUGAAAUCAAUGUGAGAAUUCGGUUUGAAAAAUAUAAAAACUUCAUCGAUUCAUUGAACUCUCUGUACUUUUGUGUUUCUGGAGAUUAAAACUUUUGUCUUUAUAUUCUCUUUGAACUUAAUAUUAAUUUGAAGAUAUAAAAACUUCAUCAUGAUUUAAAGUUCAUUCAGUUGAUGAUUAGAAGUGUUGGGUUCGAAAUCAAGAGGGCAUCAUGCGGAAGUUAUUAGUUGCAAACUAUGAGACGAUAAAUAAGAUGACACCGAAAAACAAUACUAAAAACAUAAUUCUAUUAUAUGAUUUGGCCUAAAAUCUAAUAUUUAAAAACAUAAAACUAAUAAGAGAUAAAAUCUACCCCUAAGCAUGACUCUUAAAAGACUACAUCGUGGAUGUUAUUGUGUUAUGGUAUGAGAAGGGGGUCUUCUAUUUAUAGAUGUCCAGAAUCUUUCCUCCAAGAAAGAGGUUAGCCAAAUAUGAAAAAGAAUUAUAUUUUUUCUUUCAGAAAAAGUAAAAGUAAUUAUGGUAACGUUUAUUUUCUUUCUAAGAAAAAGUAAAACUUAAAUAUAGUAAGAAAAUCAGGGUAAAAGUCCUAACAAAUCUCCCCUUUUUGGCUUGAUUUUCUUCAAAAUAUUCUUGAUCCUCCUUCUUCUUGUGCAUGAUCUUUGUUCGUCAUAUAUAUUCUUCAUAUAUCACUGUUGCUUACUAUGAUUAAAAAUUAAUAUGGGUUAAAAUUGAAGACCUAUGCAUUAAAAAUAGAAGCACAGGUUGAUAAGAUUGAAAGUGAAUCCUUGUGCAUUGAAAGUGAGCACAGGUUAAUAGUGGAGUUCAUGCGUUAAAAAUAAAUACACGAGUUGAAAGGUACCCAAGUAUUUAAGCAAGUAUGGGUUGAAAAUUGGAGCCCAUAAACCUGGGUUGAAAAUUGAUUUUGGAUUUAAAGAUGGAUAAGCAGCAAGAUUGUUGAAAUUUUUUUUGAAAUUUUUUCUUCACAUGUAGUUUGACAAAAAUCUUCAUUAUCGUCCAAAUUGUUGCAACUUGAUUUUGAAACCUCUUUGAACCUGUUUAAUCUUGUCUCACCACACCAUUGGAUCAUUGAACCAUAAGCUCUGAUACCACUUGUUGGGUUUGAAAUCGAGAGGGCGUCAUGCGGAAGCUAUUAGUUGCAAACUAUGAGACGAUAAAUAAGAUGACAACAAAAAACAAUACUCUAAACAUAAUUUUAUUAUAUGAUUUGGUAACUUGGCCUACAUAUAAAAUCUAAUAUUUAAAAACAUAAAACUAAGAAGAGAGAAAAUCUCCCCCUAAGCAUGACUCUUAAAAGACUACAUCGUGGAUGCUAUUCUGUUAUGGUAUGAGAAGGUAGUCUUCUAUUCAUAGAUGUCCAAAACCUUUCCUCCAAGAAAGAGGUUAGCCAAAUAUGGAAAACAAUUAUAUAUUUUCUUUUAUGAAUAGUAAAAAUAAUUAUGGUAACUUCUAUUUUCUUCUAAGAAAAAGUAAAACUUAAAUAUAGUAAGAAAAUCAGGGCAAAAACCCUAACAAGAAGAACAUAGAAACUUCAUUGUUAAACUAGAAACAAGUUGGUGUUUAAAGUUUUUAGAACUUUAUAAUUAGUAUUCUGACAUAUUAAGUCUGUUGUCUCUUUAUUACAACAAAAUGUCUGCUGAAAGUCAUGCAAAUGAUGGAAUGGCCAUAUUUAAAAUUAAAUAGGCCAAAAUUAUAAUGCAAAUUAGCUGAUUACUUGUCAAUAUGACCAAGAUCUAAAUGAAUUAACUAAAUUCCUAUCUAAUUUGACUAUAUUUUACAUGACCCAAGAAUUGGCCAAAAUAACUAAAAAUUACCCAAACAUAGAAAUUAUGUUUCAUUUAUUAUAAAAAAUUUCACCUCCCUAAACAUAUUACAUUAAUCCCACUUUUUAACUUUAUCUCUCCGAAAAUACAUAUACAUAGAAUUCCCUUUCACUCUCACUGUUUCUCCCCUUAAAAAAGGCUAGAAUCAAGGGUUGGUUUUCAUGUUUGAAAUCAACCAUGUUUGAGUCCAACUGCUAGUCAAUGGUAUUCCAUUUCAACUUAAUAUUCUUUUAACAUUCUCAAUUUUUAAGAUCUGAGGACUAUUAAAAUUUUUAUUUUCAUUAUCUAGUCGAAAUUUUUGAAUUUUUUGAAAGAAGAAAUUAUUGCAUGUUUUUAUUAAGUAAUUUUUUGGAUUUCUACUUUAUCAAAUCAUAGUUUGAAUAUCUGCAUUAUCUUUUUUUCUUUUCAAAAUUGUCUAUUUCAAGUACUAAAUAAACAAAUUAGUUAAUGGAUGAUUCUCCUUCGUUUAGUUUAGGAUUAACUCAAAUACCGAAACAACAAAUACGUUAGUUGGGUUCAUUCUCGAAGUAUUUAAUUACUAGGAACCUAACUUUGUUGAAAACAGAUCAAAAAAUCGUAACGACCCCAUCAAGAUAAAAAAGAUUAACAAAGCUAUAGCUUCAAAGUCAAAAAAAUAAAUUAGAGAAUCGUCAAGAAAAUUCAAAAAAGAUGAUAAUGGACGGCCAUGAUUACCAAAGAUAUUUUGGAUUUUUCAAUUUUGAUUUUUUUUAUUAUGGGUUUAUUGUGUUUUUUGUAACUAAUUUGAGGUUUUAAAAAUGUUAAUUAAUUAUCUGUGGUUGUUUGUUCUUAUGGAUUUGUUGGGGUUUUUCCUAAGUUUGAAGUUAUAUUAGAAACUGGUUGUGCAUUAUUCAUUACAUGUUGAACAUAUACAUAACUUUUGUUUUGGAUUUUAUUGUGUAAUGUGUGUUUGAGGCAAUGAAUAUUAAUAUGUAUAUAUAAAACAUAUACAUAAGUUGCAUAUGUUAUUAAACCUGUAAUGAAUUUCCUAGUUCAAAUACAUCAUAUUUUUUAUGUAUGUGUUUUUAGUUUUCUUAUGUGUCUAAGGCUAUGGACAUUACCUAUGUUUUUGUCUAACAUAUACAUGGCUUACUAUAUGUUGUUAGAUGUGUAAUGAAAUGUCUUGUUUAUAUGCAUCAUUUUUUUUAUGUAUUGUCCAUAUACGAGCCUAGGUGUUAGAUGUUGUUAGAUGUGUAAUGAAAUGACUAGUUGUUAUGUAUAGUAUAUGUUUUGACCAUAUAGGCUCACAUAUGAUGUCUUUUUCAAUUCCAAUAGGGUAUGAAAUAUAAAAUAAAAAUGUCCCUGUGUAUUCCUUGUAUUUUGGUAGUUAUUGCAACAGCGAAUUUGGAUUAGAUAUAAAGAAUUAUGUUGGUGAAAAAGUUCACAAUCUUAUCCGUCAAAUAAUAUUUGGUUCCUUUCUAGAUAUGCCCUAAUAUAUUUUUUAGGAUCAGAUUUCUAAAUGGUUAUUUAUGCUUGAGAUAGAGCAAGAUAUCCCGGAUGAAAUUCACGUUUACAUGCAGGGAACUAUUCUCAAGGUUUGUAUUGCUGAGUUUGCUAUAAUAUCUGGACUUAAAUGUAUAGAGAACACCGAGGAACAGUUGUAUACUGAAUCAUCUAAGUUUGUAUUUAUGGAGAAGUUUUUCCCAAAUUCAAAAAAUUAUGUCAAAUAGUUUAUUUUUGUACGGCGAUUCAAGUUGAAAAACUUCAACAAUAAUACCGAUUCUUUGAACAUGUCUAUCCUUUACUUUAUUCAUACUUUUGUGUAUUCACAAAUACGUGAUUCUAGUAUUAGAAGAUCAGACUUUAUGAUGGUGGAGGAUGGAAAGUAGGGACAAUUUCCAUGUGGGAAUACUUUGUUUCAAAAGCUGAUUACAACGUGGAGAUAGGAUUUCUUUGUUGAAAAACAGCUAUACCAGAUCGGGGGAAUACCUCAUGUGCUAAAUAUAUGGAUGUAUGAAUGUUGUUCUAAGGUAUACAGUACAAUGCUGAGUAGAUGAGAAAUGUAAUUCCAAGAAUUUUUAACUAGAAGGUUGUUGGGAUUAAGGUCAAGUAUAAGAAGUUCUGGUUUAUAUUAUAUUUUGGAAAAAUUAUUAUAUAAGGUUGAUAUAUAUCAUAAAUUGUUGUAUGCAUUUUUUAUUUUAAUUUCAUUAACAAUUGCUCACAUAUAUAUACUACUUAAACGUACAAGAACUCUUUUUGGUAUAAUCAAACUUCAUAUGUUUAUUCUUAAUUAUACAUAAUCUGUGUUAUGUACAUUAAUCAAUAUCCAUAACACAGUUAUUUAUAUUGUUUGAUAUACAUAACUGUGUUAUGCAUAUUUGAUAAUAUACAUAACUGUGUUGUGUAUAGUACACAACAUACAUAACUGUGUUAUGUAUUGUCUAAUUAUUUAUGCAUAUUAACUAAUUUAUUUUGGAUGCAACUAAUAUUUUGUUUAUUUAAUUAGGAUGGUGAAGAAUCAAAUAUUUGGGCAGAAAAGGAAACAUUCAAUGUAAGUUUAUGGUUGAAGCAUUAAAGGUUAUUUAUGACAAUUUCUUUAUUGAAAUUGAUUUUUUCAAAUUUAUUCUUACAUAUAUUUCACAACAAAAUCAAUAGGAUCAUGAUGUGGAAUGUUCAAAAAAGGGAGAUGUACCAUCAAAAGAUUAGGUUGAUGAGAUGGAUUUCUUUCCCAUAGUGAAAGACAAAGGAAAAGUGUAACGCCCCGCAAUUCGGGCUACAAUAUAGACCAUGAUUUAGAUGUGUUGUUAAUCCUGAAGCCAUAAAAUCCUAUGCCAAUAUGGCAUUUUAGUUAUUGCCUAGCAUGUGAAUCCACCCAAGCUUGAAUUUAGACCAUAGAGGUCCUUCAACUCAAGGACGAGUUGAAACUAUUUCGAUCGACUAAGUUUUAGUGGACCUUGUAAAGUGUGUCAGUUUCCAUUGACUAUAACUCUCUGUAUAUGUCAAAUUAGGAAGCCUACUAUGUGUCAAAUGAUAGGUUUUGAGUUAUCUUUCCAACAAUACCAAUUUGACUAAAAUCCGACACCCGAGCAAGAAGUUAUGGCCUUUCAAAGUGAUAAGCGUUGCCUAACCAAUCACGCAUGGCGGCGCCUAUGUAAACAUAGGCGAUAGCCUAGGCGGCGCCUAUGUAAACAUGGGCGAUAGCCUAGGCGGCGGGAUGGGUGGCGCCUAUGUAAAGAAUUCUAGUGACUUAAACACUCCGUGUUGAGGACAAAGUGGUCCUUUUCCACCCUUACUUAGCCCUAAAACAUGAAAUUUAGUUCCAAGGACCCCAAAAUACAUAUUCGUUCAUCAAAAGUGCUCAAAGAUUCUCCUUAGGGUUUUAAAAUAAAAACCCAAAUAGCGCAAGAUUUGAUCGUAGGUUUUCAAAGAUAAUUACAUAUUUGAAAUCACCGAUCCGCAAGUUUCAAGAAACAUCUAUUAUCCUUGGAAAUAGAGGUACGUGGGGUUAUCUAAAAAUCUCAUGGGUGUAGUUUUUAUGAACAUGCAUGCUUUUAAAUGGGGGUAAUGCUACAAAUGCUAAUAUCUUGCUUUCAAUACGAUAUUUAUGUCAUUUUCUUUAUGUCCUGGAAAUUGUUUACCUAUAUACUUCAAUGGUUGAAACCAUGCAUAUGUGAAUUGAGAUUUUUGAUGGAAGUUUGAUAAAUAUGAAUGAUAAAUUAUUUUCAAAUUCUCAUGAUAAUGUUUUGAUACUCCAUAUUAUAUUGUGAUCAACAAAAGAGAGCAUGAAUUUGAAAUAAAUAUUGUUCACCACUUGUAAAUGAUGAAGCACCUUGGAUUUUACAUGGUUAUGAAUAUGUGGAAGUGAUAUUGAGGACUUGCAAGUCGGCUAUGACGAUACCCUACAGAACAUGAUAUGUGAUUGAAUUAGAUGAAAUUUGAAUGCAUUGAUUUUAUAUGAGAAAGGUGGAUGCCCGAAGAAGGCGUUUGAGAUAUAAGGGCUCAUCGCUGGAAAACGUGUUUACCGACACGGAAUAUUGGUACCAGGCUAAGUGAUCUUGUGUACUUGAAUUCAUGUCAUUCCCAAAUUAUGACUAUAGCUAGGAGCCCGGGCUAAGUGAUCUUGGGCACUGCCAUUGGGUCGAGACACCAUGCUAUGUGAUCUUGUGUGUCUCUCCCUCACUUAUACUCUAAUCUCGGUGGCAACUGAGGUUAGAUAGUUGAUGUAAAUUAUGUAGGGUAUUCCACCUAGCUUAGUUGCAUUUCAUUGUUGUUGAGAAAACCAUUGCAUUACACCCCAUGUGUUUUCAAAUGAUUUGAUACGAAAUUUGCUUUAUAGUGGCUCUCAACAAUAUAUUGUAAAAAUAUUAUUUCUUUUAUAUAUCUAUGUUCCAGUACUUUUGUGCUGACCCCCUCCCUCUCCAACCUCUUAGGUUCAGAGUCCCAUUCUAGGGGUCAAUAGAAUCAGUAGAUCAUUCAGACAGAAUCGCAGAGACAAGUGGUGAGACUUCUAUGUUUCGGAAGGUCUUAUGUCCUGCAGUCCUUUUUUCUUAUAUUCAGUUUUGGGGUCUGGUUUUUACAUGGUUAUGCAUAUGUGGAAGUGAUAUUGAGGACUUGCAAGUCGGGUAUGACGAUACCCUACAGAACAUGAUAUGUGAUUGAAUCAGAUGAAAUUUGAAUGCAUUGAUUUUACAUGAGAAAGGUGGAUACCCGACGAAGGCGUUUGAGAUAUAAGGGCUCAUCGCUGGAAAACGUGUUUGCCAACACGAAAUAUUGGUACCAGGCUAAGUGAUAUCGGGCCUCCAUGGUUCGAAAUGCUCGUCACGGCCAGACCCUGGUUCGGGACGUGACAAAAAGUGUCACUUUUAAAGAAAUUCCUUCAUUAUUAUCAUAAAUUGAUAACAUCAAAUUUUUUCUUAUACUAAUGUCAUCAGGAUGAUGAAGUGAAAGAUUUUACAACGGGAGCUGCACCAUCACUAGACAAUGUCGAGGAGAUGGAUAUCAUCACAAGAUUGAAAGAGAAAGAAAAACAGAUGAUUUUUCCAAAAUAAUAGUUUCACAUAGGUGUUUUAUAUAUGAUAUUAUAUUUAUUUUUCAAAUUUAUGAUAUAUUGUUAGCUUAGUUUGUUGUGUAUUCUGACUGAUGUGUCUGGUAGUUAUAUUGUUAUUACAGUGAAUAUGUGAUAUGUGAUAUGUAUGCAUUUAUAAUAUACAUAUAUAAUACAUCAAAAUGAGAACUUUAUCAUAAACAAUGCAAUGCACAUUUUAAACUUUACGGUUGUCGGUGAUAUUGACAAAUCAUUACACAAAGUAUUUAGUGAUGAUAUAAGGGAGGAUGCUAUUAUUGAUGGGAACCACAAUCAUGUACAAAAAAAAUCUGAGGUUAGAUAUUUCAUAUUUUAAAACUUAUAAUUAAAAUAAUAAAUUAAUUUAGUUUGGUAUAUGUUUUAGAUUAUCUAUAACGGGAUUUUGAAGAUUUUAGUGCGGAUGUUGGAACUUCUGUAUUAAAUGCUCUUGUCGAAGAAGUGGUAAAUCAGGAAUCGGAGGAUAUUGGAACUGCUAAAUUAAAUGCUCCUGUCGAAGCUGUGGUACAUUAAAAAUUGGAUUACUCCAAAGUUAAAACAUCUAUGACAGAGAAUAUCCAUAAAGAUCAUACGGUAAAUACAUAAAGUGCAUUUUUUCUAAUUUUAGUGUCAAAUUUUAUAUACAUCACACUAUUUUUACUAACGCAUUUAAACAAAACUAACAUUAUACAUAUAAAAUUUCAAUUGUAAGAUGUUUACUUGAGUACCAUUCCAGAAUCUGCUCAAGCCGAGAUAGAUGCCAUAAUGGAAUGUUUAGCAGCACCGGUGGAUGACAUUCCUCUUGAAGUUGUUAAACCAAUAGAAGAAACCGUUAGCCUGCAUUCUAUAUAUGAUAGUUAGAUUCCUCCAGAUUUUUCUGAUGCAGCUGUUACAGCUCAUCAAGUUGCAAAAUUCCCUGACCAGGACUAAAUCUAAAGUUUUCAAGUCACCAUACCUGACAGAGUAUGUUUCUAGUUCAAAGUCCCUUGAGGAUGAAACCGCAGAUUUGAAACAUAAAUUCGCAUUUGAAGGUUUUGUAUUAUCUGACGGUAUGCCGAGGGGUAUCAUUGAAGAGUACAAGAAAUGGGUUGUUGAAGGUCUAUUGAAGUUUCACACAAAAAAGUAAGUUUUAACAUUAUUAAACUGNNNNNNNNNNNNNNNNNNNNNNNNNNNNNNNNNNNNNNNNNNNNNNNNNNNNNNNNNNNNNNNNNNNNNNNNNNNNNNNNNNNNNNNNNNNNNNNNNNNNNNNNNNNNNNNNNNNNNNNNNNNNNNNNNNNNNNNNNNNNNNNNNNNNNNNNNNNNNNNNNNNNNNNNNNNNNNNNNNNNNNNNNNNNNNNNNNNNNNNNNNNNNNNNNNNNNNNNNNNNNNNUUAUGUAAAUGUGUUCCUGUUAUGUAUGUUAUUAACCAGUAUAUGUGUAUUCAUGCCUUACUGGAUAGUUUAUGCAUGGCCCAUUUUUGGUAAUUAGCUAUAUAUAAGCCUGAGUGUAAAUAGAAUGUUUGUAUAUAUUUGCUAUAUGCCUGUCUUAUUUUAUGCAUGUAGAUGCUUCUUGAUAUGUAUGUGCAAAAGCUAAUGAAUAUCUUCUUUUGUAUAUAUCAGUCUAAUACAUAUACACACUAACAUUUUAUAAAUACCUCUACCUGCAUGUUAGGUAUAUUAAUUCCAUAAUUAUGUAUACUCUUUGUGACUCAUAAUACUUAGUGUAAACAUACAAAUAUGUUCAGAGUAUAAACCAACAUAAUGUAUCUUCUUUGUAUUUCAUUUUUGUAGCAUAAUGAUGUGAUAUUCUAUCACCUGCGCAAUAAAUCGAAAUUAAGGAUUGAUUAAGAAUAGAGAUUCACACUAUAAGAAAAACAACCUUUAGGGAAGGAAAAUCUGGUCCCUAAAAGUCCAAUUCUGGUCGCAAAUGACCUCUUAGGACGGGAAAAUGCUCGUCGCGGCUCGUCCUAAUAGACUUCUUCGCUAAAGGUCAAUUGCGACGAGGUGUUCUAUCUGGUCGUUAAAUGUUAUUAGCGACGGUAACAUUUUCGGUCCCAAAAAUACUUUUAGAGACCGUAUAUAUCAUCCCAAAUAUAUGAUUUUCAUUUUUAAAAAGUUGUUAUUUUGUGGUCGCUAAAUCCUUUUUUGCGACAAGUAACUACCUUGUCCUAAAUUACUCUAUCUAGACAAGCAAUUAACUCGUCCUUGAUUAAUCUUUAGAGAUGAGAAUGAGAAACUAACCAGUCCUUAUUAACCUUUACGGACAAGCAACUAACUCGUCUUAAAUUAAUGUUUAGCCCAAACAAUAUUAUAUUUAUAUCUAUAAUUUACCACCAAUAGUACGUACUAAAACUUUAUAUCAUAAAUGUAUAUAUUUCACUGUUAAAUAUAAAAUUAUUACUGAAAAUGACAAAGCAUAAUAAAUAUAAUUUUAAUAUUUGCUAAACAAUAAAAAAACUUAACCAAUCAACAUCCCGAUCUAGAAUAUUGUCAACAGUUUCAAUAUUUUUUAAACAAAAAAACUUAACAAAUUAACAUCCCAAGUUAGAAUAUGAUGUCAAUCUUUACAUAAUGUUCUUAGCAAAAUAAUAAUAAACUUGUGCAUCAUCUAAACUUGCAUCUUCUCUUGUAACUUCAAUCUUCAAAAAUCUGUCAAAACAAAGUUUCGAAAAGUCAAUCCUUUAAUUAAACAACCAUGACAAAGGCUCUUGCACAAUAACAUAACAUGAUAGAGUUGCAUGACAUGAUAUUCAAGUUGAUACAAGUGGAAUAAAGUGGGUAACUAUUGAGCUUUAACUUUUGUGAAGGUCUCGCUCAUUCAAGAAGGUGAAAGCUGUUUGCUAUUUUCUUACACCACAUAUAUUCUUAAAUAACCAAACUAAAGGUGAAAAGACCUUUAAGUGGAGCUGUUUCAUUACACCACAUAUAUUUUUCUUGUAAUAAUGUAACUAAAUCUAUCCAGAGACAUGUUUUACUAGAGAGAAAUUGAAGAAGCAAAACAGUUUCAAUAAAACACACAAGCAAUAGCAGGUAUAUGGAUCUACUAUACAUUAUCUCUCUAAUAAACACACNNNNNNNNNNNNNNNNNNNNNNNNNNNNNNNNNNNNNNNNNNNNNNNNNNNNNNNNNNNNNNNNNNNNNNNNNNNNNNNNNNNNNNNNNNNNNNNNNNNNNNNNNNNNNNNNNNNNNNNNNNNNNNNNNNNNNNNUUCAGUCAUACAUCUUCUUUGUUUAAAAAAAUACACUAUGUCAAGCAUCUCAUUUACUUAUAAUCCAAGCAUCACCAAGAAAUACUCAAGCCCCCCACACCCCAAUCCCCAUACUCAAGUCCACUAAUAACAAUGCUAUACAUGAAAAUAAAGGUAAAUGCAUCCUAACAUAAUUCUCCAACAAAGUUCAAGGUAUAAUCUUGAUAAAAUGUAAUUAAAUAAUAACCAAGUAAAAUAAAUACUUACUUGGACAACAAAAUAAGCUAGUGUCAUUUAGUUGAAAUGGGUGGGGUCGUAUGAGGGAUAUGAGAUUGUUGAGCAGCAAAAAUUUCUUGCAUUUUUCUUAUUUUUUCUAUCUCAUCUUCUAAGGUUGACAAACGAUCAUUCAAUGAUUUGUUUUACUCAAUCAAGGAUUUAUUGUCCUCUCGAGUUGAACGUAGAGCGGACAGUAAUUUAGUCUUUGAAGAAGUGCCCCCUUUCAUAUCUUUCGCCUUUACUCCACCUCCAAAGCAAACUACAUGACUACGAUUUUGAGAUCCCCAACAAUUGUCUACAAUCUCUAUGGUAGGUAGAAAUGGCUCUGCUUUCACAAUUUCUUCAAUCUGAGCCUACACGAUAAAUAAAUGGACAUUUUCAAUCAGAACCCAUAAUAAUUUUUAGUAUUUUACAAAUUUAGUUUACCAAACGCACAUGUUUUUCAAUUGCUUCAGGUUCAACAAGCUUGUUCCUUUCUUAUGAGUCUUAAAGAAAAUAGUCCCCAAAUCCAGAGGAUUGCCAUCUUUUCCACCCUUUACAUCAAAGAGAAUAUUUCAAAUAAUACCUUAUAAGUAUUUUAUUAUGAAAAUAAUUUUUGCUACUACCUGCUGAUACAUUAUCUCUCGAAUAGGCUUGCUACCAAUAUGACGGAGCAUUGUCAAAUUAGCUUGGUUUGUUGUAUUUCUUUUGCUUCUCGCCUGUAUUAUUCAAGUUUUUGAGGCUAUUUUCUUACCCUUAUUAUUCUUUGUCUCCCCGCUAUGUGCAUCUACUUUCUAUCUAGACGUACCACAAAUUUUGCAAGAAUCAAGUAAGUUAUCCUACUUCUAAUAUAACAUGCAAUCGUUAGUACAAACAUCAAUCUUGUUGUAAGAAAGCCAAAGCUUUCGAAUUAUCUUCUUUUCCUCAUAAUAUGAAUUUGGUAAAUUAGAUCCAUUAGGGAAUAACUCAUCUUUUAUCAUUUUCAAUAGCAUGGUAAAUGACUCAUUGCUCCAAUGACCCAUACUUUUGAUGUGGAGCAAUUUAAUCAAAGAUGAAAGCUUUGAAACCUUUGAAUUUUGAUACGGAUGCUCAAAAUCCUCCAAAAUGCUAUAAAACCUUUCAGCAUCAGUGUUUGGAUCCUCCCAAAGUUUAUCAUGAAAACCAGUUUAUGUACCUCCUCCACCUUCAGCAUUAGGAUAUAAAUCUCUCAAUAGUUCUUGUACUUCAUCUUCAUCUUCACUCUCAAAAUUAUCUNNNNNNNNNNNNNNNNNNNNNNNNNNNNNNNNNNNNNNNNNNNNNNNNNNNNNNNNNNNNNNNNNNNNNNNNNNNNNNNNNNNNNNNNNNNNNNNNNNNNNNNNNNNNNNNNNNNNNNNNNNNNNNNNNNNNNNNNNNNNNNNNNNNNNNNNNNNNNNNNNNNNNNNNNNNNNNNNNNNNNNNNNNNNNNNNNNNNNNNNNNNNNNNNNNNNNNNNNNNNNNNNNNNNNNNNNNNNNNNNNNNNNNNNNNNNNNNNNNNNNNNNNNNNNNNNNNNNNNNNNNNNNNNNNNNNNNNNNNNNNNNNNNNNNNNNNNNNNNNNNNNNNNNNNNNNNNNNNNNNNNNNNNNNNNNNNNNNNNNNNNNNNNNNNNNNNNNNNNNNNNNNNNNNNNNNNNNNNNNNNNNNNNNNNNNNNUGUCGAUUUACUAUCCAAACAAGCAUAUAUUCAUCACAGACCAAAAAAAUUUAAACAUCUCAGAUAAAUUCGCUAGUGCAACAACAAUAACAGUGACAAAAAUACAAAUUUGUAUGAAAGACAAGAAUAGAGUGAGAAAGUGAUGUUUGAUGAUAAAUUUAUUGACUCCCAUAAUGGAUCUGAAAAUAAAAGCAGUCAUUGAACAUUUCUCAAGUAACUAGUACUAAAAAAACAAAAUUUUUAUAUAUUGGAUCCAGAUAGGUUUGAACGCGGUGACAUGAAGUCAAGAACAAUGAGGAUUCAUAUAGCCAACCCCAAGUAGUUUAAGAUUGAGUAGUAGUUGUUGCCUAAAAGCUAUAUCUAAAUUUUCAUUAUAAAGGGGAUUAAGAAUAUAAAAUAGGGUUUUUCCUUUCCCUUUUCUCUUUCUUCUUUCUUUAUGAAGUAAGAAUAACAAUACAACAAGAUCUCUAACUUGGAAGCAAAAUGAAAAGAUUCUACAAAAUUUUAUAACUUGAAAUCCGUAGUAGAUCAAAAAGUAGCAGUAUAGCACCAAACAAAAUGCAAGCAAGUAAUUAAAAUAAUUCAAGAGACAGAAUGAGACUACAACAUUGGGAUAGGUACAGUUUGUUUCAUAACACCAAAUUCCUACAAAAGAUGUUACCAUUUGUUUCAUGGAUGGAAGGUUGCAGCUUUGUUAUUUAACUUAGUUGGAGAUAUUAUAGUCACUUGUUUAGAUUUCACCAUAGAAGAUGAGGCUAUGGUUUGCCAUUAGAAUGAUGUUACAUGGACAUUUAUUGAGGGGCUAUUUUUGUUGUAGAUCAAUACAUUGACAAUGUUGUUCUUCAUGAAGUUAUUAUUUAGGUUUCGAUUAUCGGUAAGUGUGGCAAUGUAUUUCUAAAUAGUUCCAUAUACUGCACUAUUUCUACUAGCAAGUUACCAGUAAUAUUGUUCUUCAUGAAGUUCAUUAUUUAGGUUUCGAUUAUCGGUAAGUGUGGCAAUNNNNNNNNNNNNNNNNNNNNNNNNNNNNNNNNNNNNNNNNNNNNNNNNNNNNNNNNNNNNNNNNNNNNNNNNNNNNNNNNNNNNNNNNNNNNNNNNNNNNNNNNNNNNNNNNNNNNNNNNNNNNNNNNNNNNNNNNNNNNNNNNNNNNNNNNNNNNNNNNNNNNNNNNNNNNNNNNNNNNNNNNNNNNNNNNNNNNNNNNNNNNNNNNNNNNNNNNNNNNNNNNNNNNNNNNNNNNNNNNNNNNNNNNNNNNNNNNNNNNNNNNNNNNNNNNNNNNNNNNNNNNNNNNNNNNNNNNNNNNNNNNNNNNNNNNNNNNNNNNNNNNNNNNNNNNNNNNNNNNNNNNNNNNNNNNNNNNNNNNNNNNNNNNNNNNNNNNNNNNNNNNNNNNNNNNNNNNNNNNNNNNNNNNNNNNNNNNNNNNNNNNNNNNNNNNNNNNNNNNNNNNNNNNNNNNNNNNNNNNNNNNNNNNNNNNNNNNNNNNNNNNNNNNNNNNNNNNNNNNNNNNNNNNNNNNNNNNNNNNNNNNNNNNNNNNNNNNNNNNNNNCCGGUGAUUCAGAUACGGUAGUUUCUACUCAGCAAGAUUAUGCUCAGUCUGUUGUUGUGGCCUAGAAUGAAGAGGCAAUAAAAAAUAUAUUUAAGGGAUUUUACAUUCCAGCUGGGUUACAAUGGCACCUAGUUAAUGUGGUGUAUGUUCCUGUCAAAUGCAAUCAAAAGUUUCACUUGGUAUUAGCUGUUAUUGCUCUAAAAAAUAAAGGCAUACUUGUCUAUGACUCACAGUCCAAUCUAAGAAAUAUGGACUUAUCACCCGAGAUUCCCAAGUUGGCAGUGAUUCUGCCAACAUACUUGUCCGACAAUGAAUUUUUUGAAGAAACAUCACGCACAGAUUGGCCAAAUCUUGAUGCAUAUAGGAAUAAAAUGAGUCAAAGGACACAGUUAGUGAAACAACACCCAUUUGAGGUUUAGUAUAUGCAAAACAUUACGCAACAAGCAUGUGACAGCUUGUAUGUAAUCUUUAUAUAAUUUUAUAUGAACUAUUAUUUACGACGUGUAAUGCGAAAUAACAUGUUUGUUUUUAUGCAUGGUGUUGACAGCCAAAUUUGGCUCUCAAUGCCUAAAAUUAACACAUUUAGGCUUCUUGAUCAUUAAAUGGUACUAAAAUAUAAUUUUUCACAUAUUUUUAGUAAUUGUUAAUAACUUAUUGAUAAUGAUCAUUAUUUUAGGAUUUUUACUCAUUUAUUGUCAUAUUUUAGUUUUACAUAAUUUAUUUAUAAUUAUUUUUAAUUUCAUAAAUUUUAGGAUUUUUAUCAAUUUAUUAUUAUUUUAAUAUUUUUUUCCAGUCAUCUUCAUACGUAUACAUCAUAGCACUACAAUUCUUUACUCCGUAGUAUAAUUUUAAUUAUUUAUAGAAUGAUAUAUUUUUUAUUUAUUGUUUAUAUUUUAUUUUUGUAAUAAUAUAUCGACAUUUAUAUUUUUAUAUAUUAUUUAAGGCGAUAUACAAGCGAUAGUGUCAGCUCUGUUAUUUUAAUACACAGAGUAAAAAUCAGUCAAGUCAACGUCAUGUCAACUUUUUAAAAGAUAAACAUAUGAGGUGAUGGAUUAACAUUUUUAUCUAUUAAAUAAUAACUCAUGGUCUAAAGGUAUGCACUAAAAGGAACAAUAUUAAUAUUUUCUGGUUAAGAGAAGGGGUUCUUUUUUAUUAUAAAUAAUAAAGGGAGGGGUUACUUUUUAGUAUCCUCAAUACACAAUACACACGCAAAUCUAGCAUUCUUUUCUCUCCACCCUCUCACUGCCAGAGCUCACUGAAUCUCUGACAAAACCACUUCUUAAACCCGAUCCACCAUCAGCCCCCUUUUUUUCCUUAUUUUUCGACCAAAGACACUCCAAACCAGUAAUGCCCUCUCUUUACUCCUCCAUUUUACUGCUAGCUCGCCGGAGGUGGUGACCGGAAAGAUUUGAGCUCCAGCCGUGCCACCACCACGCCCCUCUCCCACUGAUCUCUCUUUUUCCCUCUCCCAUCACUGCACCCUCUUUCCACUGCCCAGACCAUGAUGGGCCAGAUCUGUUCGAAAUUUGUAUUGCCGGUGUUGCUUCAAUGAAGUCAUAUAAGCAACAUCAGCACUUUUCCCUUUAUCCUCUUUGUUUUGCUACUGUUUCACUAAUAGCGACCAGAUCUGGUCGGACUUUUCAUGGUUUAAGUGUUCCUCCGAUCAGGCAGACAGGAUGUCGUCUCUAGUGAUCUCUUCUUUAAUAUGUAUUUAUAUAUGUUAUAAUUAUUUUCUUGAUUUAUUUUUUGUUGUUCAUUAUAUCAUUUCUUUUCAAUUUUUAUCAGAUUCUUGGUUUGUUCGGGUGUUUUGAUUGUUACUUGCUAGUAUCAUAGUUGUGGAACAACUUUGCUAGUUUCAUGUCUGUUAUUGCCUUUGUUUUGGGGCUGAUUAACAUUCUGUUUUGGGUAAUUACAUUACAUUUUACCCCUUAUGAUUUUAUUACCCUAAUAAUGAACAAGAUACUACACAUUUGGGGCGAUGAAGAAAUUUUUCAUCGAUUUUCGAGGCCUCCAUAAAUAAUAGACGGAUAUUACGUAUACAAAUAUGUAAUAAAAAGGGUUUUAUCAUUCUUAUUUUGGCAAGGCAAUUUAGGACAAUCAAUCAAUUGAGCAACCACUUCGUAGCCAUGGCGCAUCUAAAAUUUAAUCCGAGCCCAUCUUUUAACAAAAAUUAUAUUUUAAAAUACAUAUAUGCACACAUACCUUUUAAAUUUAUUUUGAUAAUUAUUUAUUUGUUACUAACAUUUUUGUUACAAGUGUUUAUACAGGUGUUUGAGAAUACUCGUUGGGAAAGACAUUUAAAGAAGAUUUUAAAUUGUUUUGUACUUUUAUUUUUUUAUACUUGUACAAAUAUUAUGAUAGGGAAAAUUUUAUUUUUGGGGUGUUGGGUGGGUUAUUCUUUAUUUUACGCGAUUCUUAUCACGUGUUAUGCAAAUUUAGGCCGUUAACAUUUAUAUUAAAAUUGAUUUAAA